ACAAACGCUGGCGGCGUGUAUUAGGCAUGCAAGUCGUACGCACACUUCGGUGUGAGUGGCGGACGGGUGAGUAACACGUGGGUAACCUGCCCUUGGAGUGGGGAAUAACUCGCCGAAAGGCGAGCUAAUACCGCAUACCACCCCCGGUGAGAUUCCGGGUGGUAAAAGCAGUAAUGCGCUCUAGGAGGGGCCUGCGGCCGAUUAGCUUGUUGGUGGGGUAAUGGCUCACCAAGGCGACGAUCGGUAGCUGGUCUGAGAGGAUGGUCAGCCACACGGGGACUGAGAUACGGCCCCGACUCCUACGGGAGGCAGCAGCUAAGAAUCUUGCGCAAUGGGCGAAAGCCUGACGCAGCAACGCCGCGUGGGGGACGAAGGCCUUCGGGUCGUAAACCCCUUUUGCGAGGGAAGAAGUUCUGACGGUACCUCGCGAAUAAGACACGGCUAACUACGU
rnacentral:rRNA from 1 species